rnacentral:rRNA from 1 species
GACGAACGCUGGCGGCGUGCUCAACACAUGCAAGUCGAACGAUGAAGCUGGAGCUUGCUCCGGUGGAUUAGUGGCGAACGGGUGAGUAACACGUGAGCAAUCUGCCCUUGACUCUGGGAUAACUGCGGGAAACUGUAGCUAAUACCGGAUACUUUCACUGGAAGGCAUCUUCUGGUGAAGAAAGAAUUUCGGUCAAGGAUGAGCUCGCGGCCUAUCAGCUUGUUGGUGUGGUAACGGCUCACCAAGGCGACGACGGGUAGCCGGCCUGAGAGGGUGACCGGCCACACUGGGACUGAGACACGGCCCAGACUCCUACGGGAGGCAGCAGUGGGGAAUAUUGCACAAUGGGCGCAAGCCUGAUGCAGCAACGCCGCGUGAGGGAUGAAGGCCUUAGGGUUGUAAACCUCUUUUAGCAGGGAAGAAGCGAAAGUGACGGUACCUGCAGAAAAAGCACCGGCUAACUACGUGCCAGCCGCCGCAGUAA